ACCUUAAUAGCUUAAAAGGUUAAAGCAAUAGAUUGUUAAUCUGUUUAUAUUGGUUCAAUUCCAAUUUUUGGUG
rnacentral:tRNA from 1 species